CCAGUCGGCCGGACAGCCGCUGCCGCAAGUGCCGAAAGGCCGCGGGGGAGGAAAGUCCGGGCUCCAUGGGAACACGGUGCCGGGUAACGCCCGGCGAGGGCGACCUUAGGGAAAGUGCCACAGAAAGCAAACCGCCCUGGCGUGCCGGGGUAAGGGUGAAAGGGUGGGGUAAGAGCCCACCGCGCAACUGGCAACAGCGGCGGCAUGGUAAACCCCACCGGGAGCAAGACCGAAUAGGGACAGCACGGCCUUCGGGCCAGGCCGGUUUCCAGGCCCGCUGUCCGGGUUGGUUGCGUGAGGCGUCUGGCGACAGACGCCCCAGAUGAAUGGCUGUCACGUCCGUGAAAGCGGGCCAUACAGAACCCGGCUUACAGGCCGGCUGGCUUU
rnacentral:RNase_P_RNA from 2 species